rnacentral:lncRNA from 1 species
GUUCCCCAAGUUUUGGACUCAAUCCGAUAUCGAUUGGUCCUUGAAAUCGGAUAAUUCAGGUUCGUACGAAGUUCGUUCUGAAAUGGGGUGAUUGGUGUGAUUGUAUUGUUCUAUAGAUUGGAUUUCACUAAAAACCCACCAAAUGACUCCUCCCACAAUAUUAUGAUGUUCCCCAAGUUUUGGACUCAAUCCGAUAUCGAUUGGUCCUUGAAAUCGGACAAUUCAGGUUCGUACGAAGUUCGUUCAUAAAUGGGGUGGUUGGUGUAUUGUAUAGUUCUAGUGAUUGGAUUUCACCCAAAACCCACCAAAUGACUCCUCCC